rnacentral:rRNA from 1 species
UACGAGAGGCCCAAGCGUUAUUCGGGAUUACUGGGCUUAAAGAGUCCGUAGGCGGCGCAGUAAGUCGGGUGUGAAAGCCCUCGGCUUAACCGAGGAAUUGCGCUCUAAACUACUGUGCUUGAGGAACCUAGAGGUGAGCGGAACUGAUGGUGGAGCGGUGAAAUGCGUUGAUAUCAUCAGGAACACCGGAGGCGAAGGCGGCUCACUGGGGGUUAUCUGACGCUGAGGGACGAAAGCCAGGGGAGCGAACGGG